AUGCUUUGGGAGAACAUAUACUAAAAUUGGAAUGAUACAGAGAACAUUAGAAUGGCCCCUAUGCAAGGAUGGCACAAAAUUUCAUGAAGUAUUUCAUAUUUUU